UGACUUAUGGUGUAAUGGGUAACACGUCAGAUUUUGGUUCUGAAAUUUUGGGUUCGAGUCCCGAUAGGUCAA
rnacentral:tRNA from 1 species